rnacentral:rRNA from 1 species
GACGAACGCUGGCGGCGUGCUUAACACAUGCAAGUCGAGCGGUAAGGCCCUUUCGGGGGUACACGAGCGGCGAACGGGUGAGUAACACGUGGGUGACCUGCCCUCAGCUCUGGGAUAAGCCUGGGAAACCGGGUCUAAUACUGGAUAUGACUCCAUGGCGCAUGUUGUGGGGUGGAAAGCCUUGUGCGGCUGAGGAUGGGCCCGCGGCCUAUCAGCUUGUUGGUGGGGUGAUGGCCUACCAAGGCGACGACGGGUAGCCGGCCUGAGAGGGCGACCGGCCACACUGGGACUGAGACACGGCCCAGACUCCUACGGGAGGCAGCAGUGGGGAAUCUUGCGCAAUGGGCGAAAGCCUGACGCAGCGACGCCGCGUGAGGGAUGACGGCCU